rnacentral:rRNA from 1 species
AUAGGGCGCAUAAGUAACAGGUCGUAGACCCGAAACCAGGUGAUCUACCCAUGUCCAGGAUGAAGGUAAGGUAAUACUUACUGGAGGUCCGAACCCACGCACGUUGAAAAGUGCGGGGAUGAGGUGUGGGUAGCGGAGAAAUUCCAAUCGAACUUGGAGAUAGCUGGUUCUCUCCGAAAUAGCUUUAGGGCUAGCCUCGAGGUAAAGAGUCAUGGAGGUAGAGCACUGUUUGGACUAGGGGCCCUUCUCGGGUUACCGAAUUCAGAUAAACUCCGAAUGCCAUGUACUUAUACUCGGGAGUCAGACUGCGAGUGAUAAGAUCCGUAGUCGAAAGGGAAACAGCCCAGACCACCAGUUAAGGUCCCCAAAUAUAUGUUAAGUGGAAAAGGAUGUGGGGUUGCUUAGACAACCAGGAUGUUGGCUUAGAAGCAGCCACCAUUGAAAGAGUGCGUAAUAGCUCACUGGUCGAGUGACCCCGCGCCGAAAAUGUACCGGGGCUAAACAUAUUACCGAAACUGUGGAUGAACCUCUUUAGAGGUUCGUGGUAGGAGAGCGUUCUAAGGGCGGUGAAGUCAGACCGGAAGGACUGGUGGAGCGCUUAGAAGUGAGAAUGCCGGUAUGAGUAGCGAAAGAAGGGUGAGAAUCCCUUCCACCGAAUAUCUAAGGUUUCCUGAGGAAGGCUCGUCCGCUCAGGGUUAGUCGGGACCUAAGCCGAGGCCGAUAGGCGUAGGCGAUGGACAACAGGUAGAGAUUCCUGUACCAGUGCUAAUUGUUUAACCGAUGGGGUGACACAGAAGGAUAGGGAAUCGCACGAAUGGAAAUGUGCGUCCAAGCAGUGAGUGUGAGAAGUAGGCAAAUCCGCUUCUCGCGAAGCAUGAGCUGUGAUGGGGAAGGAAAUUAAGUACGGAAGUUCCUGAUUUCACGCUGUCAAGAAAAGCCUCUAGGAAGAGUAGUACUGCCCGUACCGCAAACCGACACAGGUAGAUGAGGAGAGAAUCCUAAGGUGAGCGAGAGAACUCUCGUUAAGGAACUCGGCAAAAUGACCCCGUAACUUCGGGAGAAGGGGUGCUCUAUUAGGGUGCAAGCCCGAGAGAGCCGCAGUGAAUAGGCCCAGGCGACUGUUUAGCAAAAACACAGGUCUCUGCAAAACCGUAAGGUGACGUAUAGGGGCUGACGCCUGCCCGGUGCUGGAAGGUUAAGAGGAGUGCUUAGCUUCGGCGAAGGUACGAAUUGAAGCCCCAGUAAACGGCGGCCGUAACUAUAACGGUCCUAAGGUAGCGAAAUUCCUUGUCGGGUAAGUUCCGACCCGCACGAAAGGCGCAACGAUCUGGGCACUGUCUCAACGAGAGACUCGGUGAAAUUAUAGUACCUGUGAAGAUGCAGGUUACCCGCGACAGGACGGAAAGACCCCGUGGAGCUUUACUGCAACCUGAUAUGGAAUGUUUGUACCGCUUGUACAGGAUAGGUAGGAGCCGAAGAGACGUGUGCGCUAGCAUACGAGGAGGCAAUGGUGGGAUACUACCCUGGCUGUAUGACCAUUCUAACCCGCCACGCUUAGCGCGUGGGGAGACAGUGUCAGGUGGGCAGUUUGACUGGGGCGGUCGCCUCCUAAAGAGUAACGGAGGCGCCCAAAGGUUCCCUCAGAAUGGAUGGAAAUCAUUCGCAGAGUGUAAAGGCACAAGGGAGCUUGACUGCGAGACUGACAAGUCGAGCAGGGACGAAAGUCGGGCUUAGUGAUCCGGUGGUUCCGCAUGGAAGGGCCAUCGCUCAACGGAUAAAAGCUACCCCGGGGAUAACAGGCUUAUCUCCCCCAAGAGUCCACAUCGACGGGGAGGUUUGGCACCUCGAUGUCGGCUCGUCGCAUCCUGGGGCUGUAGUCGGUCCCAAGGGUUGGGCUGUUCGCCCAUUAAAGCGGCACGCGAGCUGGGUUCAGAACGUCGUGAGACAGUUCGGUCCCUAUCCGUCGCGGGCGCAGGAAAUUUGAGAGGAGCUGUCCUUAGUACGAGAGGACCGGGAUGGACACACCGCUGGUGUACCAGUUGUUCCGCCAGGAGCAUCGCUGGGUAGCUAUGUGUGGCAGGGAUAAACGCUGAAAGCAUCUAAGCGUGAAGCCCCCCUCAAGAUGAGAUUUCCCAUUUCUUCGGAAAGUAAGAUCCCUGAAAGAUGAUCAGGUAGAUAGGUUUGGAGUGGAAGUGUAGCGAUACAUGGAGCGGACAAAUACUAAUCGAUCGAGGACUUAACCAAAA